UUAACCUAUAUGAACUUCAAUCAUCCUAAACCACAAUUAGACUGAGUUUAUGUCUGACUUUCCUUGUCGUAGUCGCCUAAAAUAAUUUUUCAAGCAAGCGAGAACAAGCACUGACUGGAAAUGAUAUUCUCGCUCUAUUAAAUAUGGGACUAUUUUCUCUUAGUGCUCUUAGUUUGUUGACUCUUUAACCCUAACUAGACACCUGUUAUCUAGCAGCCAAGUGCAGAAUGGUGUUUGAGAAAUUGAAAUGAUUCCGCAAUGAUUAAUGCAGCAGUAAAUGUAUAUAAUAAAGCCAUAUUGAGGGAUUUUUUUUUUCUUUUUAUUUGCACAAUGUCAAGGAAUCCCAUCCGUAAGAAAGCCCACUGGCUUGACAAGGACCUUAGCAGAGAUAUCCGAAUAAAAGGGUCUUAUUUGCUGUGUAUAGUUCAGUUUACUGUGAGCCUCUGUUAUCUGAAAUGUAAUAUUGUAAUGUGCUGACCAGUACACGACGACCAUGUGUAUGGAUGUCCAGACAGUGCCACAGUUAAAACAUUUCUUAUCCCAGUGCGUCACACUGUAGAAACGAACAAACUGAGUUAUGGAGGAAAGAGCUCUGUGUUUCUCUCCUCAUUUGCUGGUGUAAUAGUUGUUCCUCUUUAUUUCUGAUGUCCUACAGUGUACUUCAGUCUAAUAAUAAGAUGAGUACAGAUAACAUGUUGAAAGAUGUUACGUUGCAGUGUCGUUAAACAAGCAGCGACUUGCUUGGAAAUAUAUUGGAGGAAAACAAGUGUCUACAAAUGCCACAAUUUUGUAAUUGCUGUAAUUAUGACACUGGCACAUUUGUCUGACACCUAACAUAAAGCAGGAACGCUGUAUUAAAAACAAUUUAAUAGUUGUUUUACGAACUCGACUCCAUUUCCUCUGUACUGCUUUGGUUCCUCUUUUUCUUGUUUUUUUAUUUUUCAUUUUUUUUUACCCCUGCCAUGUAAAUCGCUACAUGAACCAGAGGAAGAUGUUCUCCAUUUGAAAUAAGCGUCAUCAUGAUUAAUAAUUGAAUAAGUACUGUCAUAAUAAAUGCAGA
ensembl:lncRNA